rnacentral:lncRNA from 1 species
CGAAUUUGCCAUUGUACUGUCCAGAUUGAGUUCCAACGAACACCUUAGAGGAUACAGAUCUCCUGUUAACUGUCUUAUCAUUUUUAUUGUCCCUAUUUUGGGAAAAGAUCGUAUGUACGAGGACAGAAGGUUUUCCCAGUGAAUGGAAAUGAGCUGUUUGAUUCCAUAGUUACAGUUCAUUUGAUUCAUUGCCAGGAUGUAACAGCAAAUCUCUCGUACCGACAUAAAUUUCACAGUUCGAAUAUGGUGUCAAUCUACAUGCGUACUGUCAUCAUAUAGCGUUCAACGAGUAAGAUACAAAGAAAUGAAGACAAAGAAGGGCCACCCUGAAAUCUAACAAUAGAAUCUU